GUAAAUGAGUCAUUGUCGUAGUUUAAUUUUCCAAUACAAAAAUCAAGAACUCUUGUAUAUGGCCCCCUUCACUCCAUAGCUCACAUGUUGCCCGCUUUAAUGGACGGGGCUUGUUGUGGAUGGGACAUAAUUAACUGGCAAUUAUCAAUCAUUUUCGACAGUUUUAACUAUAGCUUGCAUUAUUUUCUCAUCAAAUCUAAGGGUCGGUUCCAAGGAGAUGUUCUAAUUCUAAAGGACAAUCCAUGAUAAAUUUAUACAAUCAAAUCAAUCUUGAAAAAAAUCUUUCUCGAAUAGAUUAGGUUGAAUAAUUUCUUAUGGUGUCACAUCUUCUCUUUACAUUUUUUUAUUUACUUCCAAUAGUAUCUCUAAAGUCGUCUUAAGCUAAGAUAAGGGAGAAAGAACUCUCACAUCUCUCAUGAAAUCUACCUAAUUUUAGAAUGAAAAAUUAACUCAAUUCAUAGUGAUUUUGAAUCUUAAGCUUACUUUCAUUUGCUUUAAAAAGUUAAUAUAAAAGUAGGAACCAUUCGCUUUCCACAUCAAGCAUAUGUGAGAUUAGAUCAAAAACCAAUUUUAUUAAUCAGAAGUUCGUGAUCAAUUGGUACACAUUAAGACUAUAGAAACGAAGUUACAAACAACUAGUACAUAGUAUGAACAACACGAACAAUUGUAAACUGUUGAUUGAAGUGAAUUCACUAACGGUAGACCUACGAUGUCAAGAUGAUGCAAGCAAAAUCCUUUUGCAAAAUAGGCAAAUACAUUCACACUGAGUCAAAUCACUUUGCAAUCCAAAAACCACAAAGAGAUAAAGUUUAAAAGAAGUGAUGUAUCACCCCUCACUUUCCAAUGAAAACCACAGCCCACAUGAUCUUGCUUGGGAUAUUGAAACUUUGAGAGAUCACAAAUCCCCUCUUUCAAAAGAAGAUUUUCACUAUGCCGCAUUUUCCACGCGAUCAAAUAUUCUGCAUACAAAAUAAGUGUGGUUUUUAUGUGGUUUCAAUAAUUGACUGAUAUAUAUUAAGUUUUUGACAACAAAAUUAAGAAAAUUAAAUUUUUUAAAAACGUAUCAAUCAAUAAUUUGAGUAACAAAGAUGCCACACCCAUUUUAAACACAAAAGAUUUGAUCUCAUUUCCCACCCCUUCUAUUCCCAAUUCACUCCCGAGUCCCAACAAAGCCGAUCGAUUUCACUCCCUCUCAAUCAACCCCACACAUACAUACAAGUAG
rnacentral:lncRNA from 1 species